UACAGAGGGUGCAAGCGUUAAUCGGAAUUACUGGGCGUAAAGCGUGCGUAGACGGUUAUGUAAGUCGGGUGUGAAAGCCCCGGGCUCAACCUGGGAAUGCCAUUCGAGACUGCAUAGCUAGGGUGCGGAAGAGGGAAGCGGAAUUUCCGGUGUAGCGGUGAAAUGUGUAGAUAUCGGAAGGAACACCAGUGGCGAAAGCGGCUUCCUGGUCCAGCACCGACGUUCAGGCACGAAAGCGUGGGGAGCAAACAGG
rnacentral:rRNA from 1 species